rnacentral:lncRNA from 1 species
AUGCUUAGUUUGACUGUACCCAACAAUCCCACAGGGGAAAUAUGUCCUCUUUCUGAUUGGCCUGACUUGGUGGAUAUUUCAAAAGUGAAGUUGGACUUAGACUUAGUUGGAUUACUCCGACAUUGCGUCACCACUGAAGAGAAGGAUCUUCACCCAGAGUCUGCUCUCCUGGAAAGAUCUUGAAGAGGAUUGUGCCUGUGAUCUAUGGAGGAAGGAGUUUUUCUGGAUCUGGCUGCUGGCAGCAUCAAUCUGGACUCACUUGGACCUCUAACAACAGAAGAUCCUGGCUCUAUUUGAUUUGGACUCCUGGUGUGAGAUUGGAAUAUUUGGGAAGGUAAAGUUUUAGUUUAAUAACAUAGUUCAGUUAGUUAUUAUCUUUUAAAUUAAAUAUAAGAAUAAGUAUGUUCCUAAACCCUUAUUCCUUUCCUACCCUUCCAAAAAAAUAAAGCAGAAUUCAUUUAUAUGUUUUCUUCUUGU